GGCACAGUGGCACAGUAGGUUAAAGCCCUGGCCUGCAGUGCUGGCAUCCCAUAUGGGUGCUGGUUCAAAUCCUGUCUGUUCCA
rnacentral:tRNA from 1 species